GACGAACCACACGAACGUUAUUCGGAAUUACUGGGCUUAAAGGGUGCGUAGGCGGCGUAGAAAGUUGGGUGUGAAAUCCCUCGGCUCAACCGAGGAACUGCGCCCAAAACUACUAUGCUUGAGGAAGAUAGAGGUAAGCGGAACUUACGGUGGAGCGGUGAAAUGCGUUGAUAUCGUAAGGAACACCUGUGGCGAAAGCGGCUUACUGGGUCUUUUCUGACGCUGAUGCACGAAAGCGUGGGGAUCAAACAGG
rnacentral:rRNA from 1 species